GUUGCAUAAUAUUUGCGGGUUUGACGAUGUUUUUCCUGGAUAUAAGCAUUCAGCUCUGAAAAACGGCGUUCAUACUGAACGAGUUCUGACUCGGUUGGAAUGUCAUCAAUCUGCCGCUUCACUGACAGUAUUGCUCUUAGUUGUGCUGCUUGUUCCUUCUUUGCAGAGUUAAGUUUCUCCAGUGAAUCUGACAAUACACGAUCGAGAUCCUCAGAAAGAGUCUCGAUAUCCCAAGCAGCCGCUAUCUUAUCCUCCAAUUCAUUAACCUCAGCUUGCAACUGAAAGCGCUUGUCAUCGUAAAUAGAUAGCAAAACAGAUUCUUGCCUUUCCAGAGCCUUCAGUGAGUACAAAAGAGGAAGCAAUUUCUGCACUCCGCCAUUUGCAACUUCUUUCUCCUCGAUUCGUUGGCGUAAAUGUUGCAAAUCAGUCAAAAGAUUCGUCUUUCUCUCAUUCUGUUUAUCCAAAUUGGCACUCAAUUCCUCCAUUGAGGAUCUCGCAUUGUACAAUUCCUCCUCUUUCUGAUCUUCAAUUGAGGGUUCAGUGGAUGUAAACUCAUCGAAUCUGCCCUGCCCUCGCGAUUCCAUUAACGAUUCAAGAAUUUGAAUUUGGGACAGAUGGAAG
rnacentral:misc_RNA from 1 species